CCAAACAUGUCGGUUAACCCCUUCCUUUGUGA
rnacentral:tRNA from 1 species